UUACAGUUCUUAUUUUAGUGUUCUUGGAGCAUCGUAUGAUAACAGUUGAACCACUGAAGACACUCCUUGUCUCCUUUUCUGGACUUUGAGCACCUCAGGAACGUUCCUGUGUGUGAAGCGUGAGGGAGCUCUCAGAUAAAAUGCCUUAAUUUGUGUUCUGAAAGACGAAUGAACGUUUCAGGGGGUUGAAAUGACAUGAAGGAAAGUAAAUAAUAACAGUAUUUUAAUUUUCGGGUGAACUAAUCAUUAAAAUAGUACCAAUUUUUCCUCAGAUGUACAACUACUAACCCUUGUUUUCUUUUUCUCUGCAGCCUGGUUGUUCCAGACCUGUGUGUGAAGAAGCAGCGUAUAUGCUAAUACUGAAACAUCCUUCAGCAAGCAUGCAUGUGAUAGAAAUGUAUGAGUGGUUUGAUCAAGCUGGAUUCAUUUCACUCGUCAUGGAGUACCCCCAACCUUGCGUAUCUCUGCGGGACUAUAUAUACAUGCAUGACAAACUGUCAGAAGGGGUUGCACGUUCCCUGCUGCACCAGUUAGUCCAGGCAAUGCAGCACUGCAUUGACCAUGAUGUUUCCCACAACGACAUGCAUCCUGACAACAUCCUAGUCAACACAACGAAGGUGGAGCUCAAGCUGAUUGACUUCGGUUGUGCUACCAAAAUCAGAGCAGAAGAUUAUCAAGCUGUCGUCUUUUCAAGCAUCUGGAACGUAGGCUACAUGCUGUAUUUCAUGGUGCAUGGAAGACAACUAGUGAACAGAAUUUCUGGAAGGAAGCGCCACCUUUUGUUUGGUCCCAGUGUAUCCAGUGACUGCUGGGAUCUGAUAGAAAAGUGCAUGGAUAAAAAAUUGUCAACGUUGGAGGAAGUCUUACAGCACCAGUGGAUGAAGAAGCAGGAGAUGGAGCAGGGAUGAAGGAACUUCACACACAAAGCAGCAAAAUCUUCAACAAAAAAUCAUUAAAAAAUCAUCAAAACUCAUCUAUAAAGAAGCUUUUCCCGAUCCAGAACCACCGUCUGUGCUCAUAAACACUACAGGAUCAGCGUUUCCCCAGGAAACUGCCUCUUUUGAGCUACUCUCCAUGGGAUCGGCCUUCAGCAGAGACAUUACACUGAACUGAAUUUCAACAGAGACAUUUGAUAAGCUGCUUUGACAACAUUUGCAUUGUAUAAGUUUUGUAAAUAAAGAUGAAUU